GAGCAGCGCCGGAGCCGGAGCCGGUCCCCGGGUCCUGCGGCUGAGGAGCCCCUCGGUUGUCCACGGCCCCCACCUGCGGGGGGAGGCUGGGUCCCGCGGCGGAGCUCCGGGGAUGUGACUGCCUGGCGGCGGCGGCGGCUGUAACAACGUCCGGAGCCGGGGGAGGGGGUGUCUCGGGCAGAGACCCCUGGGCUCGGGGCAGCUGAGGCGGCCGGGCCUCCUCCCCCCUCCGCCCGCCUCCCGCCUUCGGGGCCGCGAGCGUGCUCUGUCCCGUACAGCCCUGCCCUGGCUCUGGGGCGCUGGGGGUGGUCUCUGUUUCCCCCCAGACCUGGGACACCCCGUUUCCUGAGGCGUGGAGGAGCGACGCCCCGGAGUAAGCCGCCCGUGCCCCGCCCCGGCAGCCUCCCCUUUACCCCCGAGCCGCCCCUCGCGCCCACUCCCGGCCCCGAGUUUGGCCUCGGAGCCCCCCCCCCCCGCCCCCCAUUCAUAUCCCCUCCCUGCUGUCAAGUGGCCUCCCCUUCCCCCCCCAGGUUGCUCCCGGGAGCCUCCAAUGCCUUGACCUCUUCCAAUGUCACCUACGGUCCCUUUAGUCUCAGCCCAGACAAAAACUUUAAUGCAGAGGAAAAGCCUGGACUGGUUUCACAGGCCUUUUAAAAAGCGGACUUAAAAGUUGCUGGCAAUGCAUUCCUUGUCAUCCGAGGCGAGGGCAAGCCCUCGCUGAAGUCUGGGUGACCCGUGUCGUUUUCCGGAGCGCAGGGUAGAGCAGCAGGAGCGGCAGCUAGUUUGGCAGGAAAUCUGUCGGAAGAUCAAGAAACUGAGACAGGAGGUAGGGUGGGCGAAGCAUCCAGAGGUGACCACCAUUUCCUUUCUGUGCGGGAAUCGAGAUGACUUUAGUGUUACUGACCCUUUUACAGCAUCCCUGUGAAUAUUUGUUUUCCUUCUUGGAGAGAAAGAAACUUACUCAGCCCGUGAAAGACACUCAAACCCAAGGAACUGUGGGGUCGCCCCGCAGUUGCAGGACUUCGAGUUGAUCGACCGCGGACAUCAUCGGAACUGCUGUUUACAUGUGUUCACUUGUGUUUGACCUCAGUGUACUGACUCGUGGCGAUUCGGUGAAUGUGAAAUCCCACGUAUGUACUGUUUCCUUCUAAGCCCGCUGACCAUUCUGGAGGAUCUCGAACCCUCUUCUGGAAAGGGGUGCCUAUCAUUACUUUAUGGGGCAGCAGCCUGGAAAAGUUCUUGGGGACCAGAGGAGGCCAAGCUUGCCUGCCCUGCACUUUAUCAAAGGAGCAGGGAAGAAGGAAUCAUCGAGGCACGGGGGUCCGCACUGCAAUGUCUUUGUGGAACACGAAGCCCUUCAGAGGCCAGUAGCGUCUGACUUUGAGCCCCAAGGUCUGAGCGAAGCAGCUCGUUGGAACUCCAAGGAAAACCUUCUUGCUGGUCCCAGUGAAAAUGACCCCAACCUUUUUGUUGCACUGUAUGAUUUUGUGGCCAGUGGGGAUAACACCCUAAGCAUCACUAAAGGUGAAAAGCUCCGGGUUUUAGGCUACAACCACAAUGGGGAAUGGUGUGAGGCCCAAACCAAAAAUGGCCAAGGGUGGGUCCCAAGCAACUACAUCACGCCGGUCAACAGUCUGGAGAAACAUUCCUGGUACCACGGGCCCGUGUCCCGCAAUGCCGCCGAGUACCUGCUGAGCAGUGGGAUCAACGGCAGCUUCUUGGUGCGGGAGAGCGAGAGCAGCCCCGGCCAGAGGUCCAUCUCGCUGAGAUACGAAGGGAGAGUGUACCACUACAGGAUCAACACUGCUUCUGAUGGCAAGCUCUACGUCUCCUCAGAGAGCCGCUUCAACACUUUGGCAGAGUUGGUUCAUCAUCACUCGACUGUGGCGGACGGGCUCAUCACCACUCUCCAUUACCCAGCCCCCAAGCGCAACAAGCCCACCGUCUACGGCGUGUCCCCCAACUACGACAAGUGGGAGAUGGAACGCACAGACAUCACCAUGAAGCACAAGCUGGGAGGCGGCCAGUACGGAGAGGUGUACGAGGGCGUGUGGAAGAAAUACAGCCUGACGGUGGCCGUGAAGACCUUGAAGGAGGACACCAUGGAGGUGGAAGAGUUCUUGAAAGAAGCCGCAGUGAUGAAGGAGAUCAAGCACCCCAACCUCGUGCAGUUGCUGGGGGUCUGCACCCGGGAGCCCCCGUUCUAUAUAGUCACUGAGUUCAUGACCUAUGGGAACCUGCUGGAUUACCUGCGGGAGUGUAACCGGCAGGAGGUGAAUGCUGUGGUGCUGCUGUACAUGGCCACGCAGAUCUCGUCAGCCAUGGAGUACCUGGAGAAGAAGAACUUCAUCCACAGAGAUCUUGCUGCCCGAAACUGCCUGGUAGGGGAGAACCACUUGGUGAAGGUGGCUGAUUUCGGCCUGAGCAGGUUAAUGACAGGGGAUACGUACACAGCCCACGCCGGGGCCAAGUUCCCCAUCAAGUGGACAGCGCCAGAAAGCCUGGCCUACAACAAGUUCUCCAUCAAGUCCGACGUCUGGGCAUUUGGAGUACUGCUUUGGGAAAUUGCUACCUACGGUAUGUCACCUUACCCAGGAAUUGACCUGUCCCAGGUAUACGAGCUGCUAGAGAAAGACUAUCGCAUGGAACGCCCGGAAGGCUGCCCAGAGAAGGUCUACGAACUCAUGCGAGCAUGUUGGCAGUGGAAUCCCUCCGACCGGCCCUCCUUUGCUGAAAUCCACCAAGCCUUUGAGACCAUGUUCCAAGAGUCCAGCAUAUCAGAUGAAGUGGAAAAGGAACUGGGGAAAAAAGGUGUGCGAGGGGUUGCGAGUACUUUGCUGCAGGCCCCAGAGCUGCCCACCAAGACGAGAACGUCCAGGAGAGCCGCGGAGCACAAAGACCCCACUGAGGUGCCCGAGACGCCCCACUCCAAGGGCCCAGGAGAGACUGAUCCUCUGGACCACGAGCCCCCUGUGUCUCCACUGCUCCCUCGAAAAGAACGAGGUCCCCAGGAUGGCGGCCUGAAUGAGGAUGAGCGCUUUCUUCCCAAAGACAAAAAGACCAACUUGUUCAGUGCCUUGAUCAAGAAGAAGAAGAAAACGGCCCCGACGCCCCCGAAACGCAGCAGCUCCUUCCGGGAGAUGGACGGCCAGCCCGAGCGCAAGGGGGCCGGCGAGGAAGAGGGCCGAGAAACCAGCAACGGGGCACCGGCUCUCACACCCUCAGACGCAGCCGAGCCAGGCAAGUCCCCAAAGCCCAGCAGCGGGGCUGGCGUCCCCAACGGAGCCUUCCGGGAGUCCGGGGGUGCAGGCUUCCGGUCUCCCCACCUGUGGAAAAAGUCCAGUACGCUCACCAGCAGCCGCCUAGCAGCCAGCGAGGAGGAGAGUGGCGGCAGCUCCAGCAAGCGCUUCCUGCGGUCCUGCUCGGCCUCCUGCGUGCCCCACGGAGCCAGGGACACCGAGUGGAGGUCCGUCACACUGCCUCGGGACCUGCAGUCCACGGGCAGGCAGUUCGACUCGUCCACGUUUGGAGGGCACAAAAGCGAGAAGCCGGCUCUGCCUCGGAAGCGGGCGAGUGAGAACAGGUCAGACCAGGCGACCAGAGGCACGGUGACUCCCCCACCCAGGCUGGUGAAAAAGACCGAGGAAGCAGCCGAUGAGGUCUUUCGAGACGCAGGGGAGUCCAGCCCGGGCUCCAGCCCCCCAAGUCUGACUCCAAAACUCCUCCGCAGGCAGGUCACGGGGGCUCCUUCCUCUGGCCUUCCCCACAAGGACGAGACCACCAAGUCCGGUGCCUUGGGGACACCUGUCGCAGCUGAGCCGGUGCCCCCCGCCAGCAGAGCAGGGCCAGGUGCGUCCGGAGGGACCGGCAAGGCCCCCGCCGAGGAGCCCAGAGCGAGGAGGCACAAGCCUUCCUCCGAGUCCCCAGGGAGAGACAAGGGGAAACUGUCCAAGCUCAAACCUGCCCCACCGCCCCCGCCGCCGGCCUCCGUGGGGAAAGCCGGGAAGCCCGCUCAGAACCCGACCCAGGAAGUGGCCGGGGAGGCCAGCACUGGCGGGAAAACGAAAGCCGCGGCUGUGGUCGUGGAUGCUGUGAACAGUGACGCCAUCAAGCCCAGUCCGCUGGGAGAGGGCGUCAAAAAGCCCGUGCUCCCAUCCGUGCCAAAGCCGCAGUCGUCCAGCAAGCCAGCGGGGGCCCCGGCCGGGGCGGCGCCCGCCCCCUCCACGUUGCCAUCAGCAGCCUCCGCCCUGGCCGGGGACCAGCCCGCGUCUACUGCCUUCAUCCCUCUCAUAUCGACCCGCGUGUCUCUUCGGAAAACCCGCCAGCCUCCGGAGCGGAUCGCCAGCGGCACCAUCACCAAGAGCGUGGUCCUGGACGGCACCGAGGCCCUGUGCCUGGCCAUCUCCAAGAACUCCGAGCAGAUGGCCAGCCAUAGUGCCGUGCUGGAAGCCGGCAAAAACCUGUACACGUUCUGCGUGAGCUAUGUGGAUUCCAUCCAGCAGAUGAGGAACAAAUUCGCCUUCCGCGAGGCCAUCAACAAACUGGAGAAUAAUCUCCGGGAGCUUCAGAUCUGCCCGGCAACAGCAGGGAGUGGCCCGGCGGCCACUCAGGACUUCAGCAAACUCCUCAGCUCCGUGAAGGAGAUCAGUGACAUCGUACAGAGGUAGCAGAAGCCGGGCAUGAGGCCGGCCGGAGCCGCCUGCAGUGUGUGAAGGCUUCCCCAUGCCUGCGACAGUGGCCGACACCAGACCAGUGAGUUGGGACCUUGGCCCGGGAGCGCUGCGCCACACGGAGCCAAGGGCCACUGUGGAACACAGCCCGACUACCUGUGUUUUGUGCCAACUGUCCCGCACUUCCCCCUCCCCCAGCCCGGGCUCCCUGAGUCGCCUCUGUCCCGAGUUCUAUCUGUGGAGUUCCUGCUCUGUGGACUCCGGUCGGCCCGCCGGCCUCCUCCCCACGUAGUGCUCCAGAACUGAGCUCUUCCGGCCAGGGGUGAAAGCAGAUGAGCGUAUCUCCUUUCCGCUGGUCUUUCUGGAGGCCCUCCUCUGGGGAUGCCUUCUCCUCCGCUUCCCGCAGGAAACGAGCGCCCUGAACAGGAGCCUUGUCACCGAGGCCCGAGGAACUGUCCUCCCCACCUACCCCAUGGGGGGAGCCGGCGCAGAAGACCCGUCUCCAGAACUACAUCCUGGGAAGCGCUUGCCAGCUGGUCACUCUGCCCUCCGUUGCUGCCGGGGGCUGGUGCCCUCACAUUGCCUCGUGUGAAGGACAGCUCUUGAUUUGGGGGGUGAAACGGGGUGCUAAAACCAGCCGGCCCUUGGGUCCUUGCUGUCUUGUGGCACUGCUCGGCCUGGAUGGAAAGCUGGAGUCUGAAGGGUAGGAGGGUCGCAGUCUGGCGUGCAGGGUCAGGGGAGGCAGGCAGGGUGGCUGGCUGGGGGAACAGCUGGUACCCAGAUGGCCCGGGGCUGGGCCCAGCCUACCUUCUUUUCAGGCUUCCAGGUGCCCAGAAAAGGCACUUGGUCUUGAUUUCUGACCGAUCUCCUUCUCCUCCCUUGUACUCCUCUGAGACCAAGCAGAUUCAUGCAGAGCUCUUUCCUGUGUGACAAGCCAACCUUUAGUUUUCCGGAGCAUUUCAUGGCUCUGAGCUCAGCCCAGUCGCCUCAGGCACAGGAGGACCAGCCGCCGGCGCACGGGAGGAGAAGGACUGUGGCACCAAAGCCCCAACCGUUGCUGGCUGUGCGCUAAGAGGCCAAUGUCCUGUUGAAUCGCCACGAGCAACAACACGCAGCCCACUGUUUCUGCUGGGGUUUUCAGGGAUGGAGAAAACCACAAACAUAUGAAGCCCAGAAAGUGUCUCCAAGAGCAGGCCUCGGUCUCCUCUCCCCAGGCUGCCCAGGACCAGGCUCUCCAGCCAGGGGCCCAGGCCGCCUUGACCUUGACCUAGAGCAGCUGCUGAAGGAGGGGGUCAGGCACCUGCCUGGGCCUCCUGCCGGGCCCAGGCGCCACCACCUUCCACCCCCAUACCCCCGUGACCUCACACCGGCCUCAUCACCCGAACUUAUUCUUUAUUUCUCUGGUAGAGAUGGUUCCCUCUGCAUCGAUUUGUGCUGUCCUCACAGCUCAUCACCUCUUUGCCCCCUCCCCCCCCCCCCAGACUUCUGUGUCACACAGACUGAGGGAGGUGCUAGAACACCACCAGCGGCCUUGCAGACAAAGCAAAACCGACCCCACCCAGGUCCCCUCGACCGCCUCUUUCUAUAAGACGAAGACCCCGGGAUGUGUUCCAUCCCCACCAGUCUGUCACAUUAGCAGGACGCAUCCCGGAUCAUCCCUUCCCUGGACAGCGGUAGAAGCCAAAGGGAGUACGAUGUGCCUCCCAGACUCCGUGUCGCUAUCUGGCGCCUGUCCCGGCGGGGCACGCGGAGGGGAGAAGCCGCGAGGAGCUCCAGGGGAAGGCAGCUCACUUUAACCCAAGGUGAUGUUUGGAUUCCUGUGUUCCUGUCCCACCCUGCCACCCAAUUUCCGCGCCCCAGUCAGCUUGGCUCUUUUGUGGCUCAGAUCUGUCACCCCCUAAUGAAGUGGCUUUCUGGCUGCCGAGGAUUGAGAGCUGCUGCUGGGGAAUCUAAGUCACUAAUAGAAUGGAAAACACUGUGAAAUGCUCCGAGGUGCCAAGCUGGGCCCAACCCAGUGUGGUUCUAAAAGGCUAAUAAAAAUCCACCAAUUAA